UACGUAGGGAGCGAGCGUUGUCCGGAUUUACUGGGUGUAAAGGGUGCGUAGGCGGCUAAGCAAGUCAGAAGUGAAAUGCAUGGGCUUAACCCAUGAACUGCUUUUGAAACUGCAUAGCUUGAGUGAAGUAGAGGUAGGCGGAAUUCCCGGUGUAGCGGUGAAAUGCGUAGAGAUCGGGAGGAACAUCAGUGGCGAAGGCGGCCUGCUGGGCUUUUACUGACGCUGAGGCUCGAAAGUGUGGGUAUCAA
rnacentral:rRNA from 1 species